rnacentral:rRNA from 1 species
AGAGUUUGAUCCUGGCUCAGGAUGAACGCCGGCGGUGUGCCUAAUACAUGCAAGUCGUACGCAUUGGCCCAACUGAUUGAUGGUGCUUGCACCUGAUUGACGAUGGAUCACCAGUGAGUGGCGGACGGGUGAGUAACACGUAGGUAACCUGCCUCGGAGCGGGGGAUAACAUUUGGAAACAGAUGCUAAUACCGCAUAACAACAAAAGCCACAUGGCUUUUGUUUGAAAGAUGGCUUUGGCUAUCACUCUGGGAUGGACCUGCGGUGCAUUAGCUGGUUGGUAAGGUAACGGCUUACCAAGGCAAUGAUGCAUAGCCGAGUUGAGAGACUGAUCGGCCACAAUGGAACUGAGACACGGUCCAUACUCCUACGGGAGGCAGCAGUAGGGAAUCUUCCACAAUGGGCGCAAGCCUGAUGGAGCAACACCGCGUGAGUGAAGAAGGGUUUCGGCUCGUAAAGCUCUGUUGUUGGAGAAGAACGUGCGUGAGAGUAACUGUUCACGCAGUGACGGUAUCCAACCAGAAAGUCACGGCUAACUACGUGCCAGCAGCCGCGGUAAUACGUAGGUGGCAAGCGUUAUCCGGAUUUAUUGGGCGUAAAGCGAGCGCAGGCGGUUGCUUAGGUCUGAUGUGAAAGCCUUCGGCUUAACCGAAGAAGUGCAUCGGAAACCGGGCGACUUGAGUGCAGAAGAGGACAGUGGAACUCCAUGUGUAGCGGUGGAAUGCGUAGAUAUAUGGAAGAACACCAGUGGCGAAGGCGGCUGUCUGGUCUGCAACUGACGCUGAGGCUCGAAAGCAUGGGUAGCGAACAGGAUUAGAUACCCUGGUAGUCCAUGCCGUAAACGAUGAGUGCUAGGUGUUGGGAGGGUUUCCGCCCUUCAGUGCCGGAGCUAACCCAUUAAGCACUCCG